ACAAACUGCAUGAUUUCAGUGUAACCACUGACCGAUGGAUGCUUCGUAAGUGCAAUCGCAACACACCUAUUACCUGUAAUAUACACCUGUAAAUGUAUUCUGUUGGUUUACUCUUAUUUCAAACGACGUUUCUUACCUUUGAUCAAUGAAUGAGGAGCGUUGGGAUGUGUUGCGAGCGUUGAGUUACUUAUUUUCUCUCCCGAAACGUAAAAGAGGAGAUUUUUUCAAAGUGCCGCCGCAUCUCAAACUCGCAACAGCGCCGGAAGACCGUAGUGGCCAAAAGUAUAUUACACCCGUAGUGGUUUAGCACUACCAUAGAGAAUGAAUGGGAAACGGUUUAGGCCGUUUAGCUAAACAAUCCCAGGCUCCCGUCUAUCAGAGAGGAGGGGAUGUCUCUGACAUGAAGGAAGUGCAGGGAGAGUACAUCCUGCAGUUUGGAAAAUAUAAAGGGAAAUCUUUCCGGUGGCUUCUGGAGAAUGAUGUCGGGGACACCAUGUACCAAAUCAAAGAUCUCCAGAAGCAAGAGGCUGCAGGGACCUCUGUGGAAGAAGGGCAUGGCAAGGAGAGCUUGCAUUCAUUUGUACAGUAAGCCCUCAGCUUUGCAGAGAUAAAAACUCUUCUGAGCUACGAGACCAGCAGAGUGAGUGUUGCAGCAGAAGCCUCUGAGGAUGAUCAGCUGGUUGGCUUUGGCUCACGAGCCAAGAGCACCUGGAAGGAGAUUUGAGACGGCAGAGGUGACGGCUAUGCAGACCUUAUCAUGAGGAAGAGCUGCAGUCAAGGAACACGGAUGCAUGAGCUGCAGCAGUGCCUGCGGAAGAAGUAGCAGUCUGCGCCUGCUUCCACAAACGCCCCAACUAAACAACCUCUUGGGAUGGAUGAGGAUGAAAACCUGGAGGACACAAUGCCGAGCAUCUCACCUGUAAAAGUACACAUGCAGAGCUUCACUGUGGCAGCAGCAGGGUCCACACCCAGAGGAUCUUCAGGAGCAAACAGGUUUUCAAAUGAAAGGUUUCAGAACUGGAGUACAAUUGUUUUCUCUGCAAAGCUGAGCCUGAACUUGAACUUUUAUAUAUUGUCUUGUUCUUGUUUUUGUGUGUUCUGGCCACGUUCCAGUGAUGUUCCUCUAAUAGCAUGGUGUUAUGCUGGCUGUAUGGUGGAAGAAAACAGUUGAUUUUGUAUAUAAGACAGUUUUGUUCUAGUUGUGAAUGUUUCUUUUGUUUAUAUAAAUAUAAACUGAUUGUAAAUAUAAAUAGUUUUCUGCAAAAAUAUCAACACAGUUUUCUUCUUAGAGUUCACCUGUAUGUUUCUAUAUCUGUGUGUGCUCCCCAUCAGGUAAUCAGUUUUAAUAAGUUGUGAGCGCUGCCCUGAAAGCUUACAUAUUAUUUCUAAAUCACUUCAUGUAAUGAUAACAAGUCAUCCUUUCUCUGGAGGAGUCUCACAGCUUUAUCUUCAUAAUCUUUCUGUUUUCAUUUAUAUUAUUAGAAACAUGACUGCUGUCUUUUAUCUGUGUGACUGCACAGCCUGUGUCAGACAUGACCCCCACACAAUGUCUGACGUUAUCUUUAAUACAUGCAGCACAGCUGGAGCUGCAGACAGUUUCUCACUUCUGGUGAUAAUAUUUUUGAUGUAGGUAUUGUUGCUUGCUAGCUUGAAGCUUCUCUACAAAAGUAAUUCAAUAAGGAGAGAUCACGUGGAAAAACUCAACAUGAUUUAUUGAGAUACAGAAAUAAAUGUAACUGUUUGGCAGUUAUGAGCCAUCAUAGCAGAAAGAAUCCCAGCAGUGACAGGAUGUUGCACAACCACCACCCCAGAGUCAACAUGCUGAUAGUAAUGAAGAUGAAGAUGGAGGCUGGGACAGGGCUCUGACUGACCACGGUGAGGAGGAGAAAGGAGAGGAGGCGGGCUGCAUGGCUGCAGAUCUGAAAUGCAGAAGAGCAACCGAUUUAAAGCAUGCAGAGUGGAGGCUGGCAAGAGCAUGACUGGAAUAAAGCAGUGAUGUCAGUACUGAGUUUGUGCUGGAAAAUGAAUAGACAUAAACUAACAGCCACCAGGAAGCAGACAGAUGAUUUAUCACAGACAUGCCUUGUUUAAAUUAUGAAUAAGCUUCAUGUUCUAUGUCAUCAGAAUGUAUCUGUAUUAUAGUUUUAGCUUUAGUCUUUGUAUUAAAAGUUGGA